AGUGAACGCUGGCGGUAGGCCUAACACAUGCAAGUCGAACGGCAGCAUAGUAAGAGCUUGCUCUUACGGGUGGCGAGUGGCGGACGGGUGAGGAAUACAUCGGAAUCUACUUUUUCGUGGGGGAUAACGUAGGGAAACUUACGCUAAUACCGCAUACGACCUACGGGUGAAAGCAGGGGAUCUUCGGACCUUGCGCGAUUGAAUGAGCCGAUGUCGGAUUAGCUAGUUGGCGGGGUAAAGGCCCACCAAGGCGACGAUCCGUAGCUGGUCUGAGAGGAUGAUCAGCCACACUGGAACUGAGACACGGUCCAGACUCUUACGGGAGGCAGCAGUGGGGAAUAUUGGACAAAGGGCGCAAGCCUGAUCCAGCCAUACCGCGUGGGUGAAGAAGGCCUUCGGGUUGUAAAGCCCUUUUGUUGGGAAAGAAAAGCAGCAGGUUAAUACCCCGCUGUUCUGACGGUACCCAAAGAAUAAGCACCGGCUAACUUCGUG
rnacentral:rRNA from 1 species